rnacentral:tRNA from 1 species
GCUUGGUUGGUAUAAUAGUGCGUCUGCCUUGUAAGCGCUAGGCCGCGGGUUCUAUUCCCGCCCCGGGCG